UUAAGCGACUAAGCGUACACGGUGGAUGCCCUGGCAGUCAGAGGCGAUGAAGGACGUGCUAAUCUGCGAUAAGCGUCGGUGAGGUGAUAUGAACCGUUAUAACCGGCGAUUUCCGAAUGGGGAAACCCAGUGUGUUUCGACACACUAUCAUUAACUGAAUCCAUAGGUUAAUGAGGCGAACCGGGGGAACUGAAACAUCUAAGUACCCCGAGGAAAAGAAAUCAACCGAGAUUCCCCCAGUAGCGGCGAGCGAACGGGGAGGAGCCCAGAGCCUGAAUCAGUGUGUGUGUUAGUGGAAGCGUCUGGAAAGGCGCGCGAUACAGGGUGACAGCCCCGUACACAAAAAUGCACAUAUUGUGAGCUCGAUGAGUAGGGCGGGACACGUGGUAUCCUGUCUGAAUAUGGGGGGACCAUCCUCCAAGGCUAAAUACUCCUGACUGACCGAUAGUGAACCAGUACCGUGAGGGAAAGGCGAAAAGAACCCCGGCGAGGGGAGUGAAAAAGAACCUGAAACCGUGUACGUACAAGCAGUGGGAGCCUCUUAAUGGGGUGACUGCGUACCUUUUGUAUAAUGGGUCAGCGACUUAUAUUCUGUAGCAAGGUUAACCGAAUAGGGGAGCCGAAGGGAAACCGAGUCUUAACUGGGCGUUAAGUUGCAGGGUAUAGACCCGAAACCCGGUGAUCUAGCCAUGGGCAGGUUGAAGGUUGGGUAACACUAACUGGAGGACCGAACCGACUAAUGUUGAAAAAUUAGCGGAUGACUUGUGGCUGGGGGUGAAAGGCCAAUCAAACCGGGAGAUAGCUGGUUCUCCCCGAAAGCUAUUUAGGUAGCGCCUCGUGAAUUCAUCUCCGGGGGUAGAGCACUGUUUCGGCAAGGGGGUCAUCCCGACUUACCAACCCGAUGCAAACUGCGAAUACCGGAGAAUGUUAUCACGGGAGACACACGGCGGGUGCUAACGUCCGUCGUGAAGAGGGAAACAACCCAGACCGCCAGCUAAGGUCCCAAAGUCAUGGUUAAGUGGGAAACGAUGUGGGAAGGCCCAGACAGCCAGGAUGUUGGCUUAGAAGCAGCCAUCAUUUAAAGAAAGCGUAAUAGCUCACUGGUCGAGUCGGCCUGCGCGGAAGAUGUAACGGGGCUAAACCAUGCACCGAAGCUGCGGCAGCGACGCUUAUGCGUUGUUGGGUAGGGGAGCGUUCUGUAAGCCUGCGAAGGUGUGCUGUGAGGCAUGCUGGAGGUAUCAGAAGUGCGAAUGCUGACAUAAGUAACGAUAAAGCGGGUGAAAAGCCCGCUCGCCGGAAGACCAAGGGUUCCUGUCCAACGUUAAUCGGGGCAGGGUGAGUCGACCCCUAAGGCGAGGCCGAAAGGCGUAGUCGAUGGGAAACAGGUUAAUAUUCCUGUACUUGGUGUUACUGCGAAGGGGGGACGGAGAAGGCUAUGUUGGCCGGGCGACGGUUGUCCCGGUUUAAGCGUGUAGGCUGGUUUUCCAGGCAAAUCCGGAAAAUCAAGGCUGAGGCGUGAUGACGAGGCACUACGGUGCUGAAGCAACAAAUGCCCUGCUUCCAGGAAAAGCCUCUAAGCAUCAGGUAACAUCAAAUCGUACCCCAAACCGACACAGGUGGUCAGGUAGAGAAUACCAAGGCGCUUGAGAGAACUCGGGUGAAGGAACUAGGCAAAAUGGUGCCGUAACUUCGGGAGAAGGCACGCUGAUAUGUAGGUGAAGCGACUUGCUCGUGGAGCUGAAAUCAGUCGAAGAUACCAGCUGGCUGCAACUGUUUAUUAAAAACACAGCACUGUGCAAACACGAAAGUGGACGUAUACGGUGUGACGCCUGCCCGGUGCCGGAAGGUUAAUUGAUGGGGUUAGCGGUAACGCGAAGCUCUUGAUCGAAGCCCCGGUAAACGGCGGCCGUAACUAUAACGGUCCUAAGGUAGCGAAAUUCCUUGUCGGGUAAGUUCCGACCUGCACGAAUGGCGUAAUGAUGGCCAGGCUGUCUCCACCCGAGACUCAGUGAAAUUGAACUCGCUGUGAAGAUGCAGUGUACCCGCGGCAAGACGGAAAGACCCCGUGAACCUUUACUAUAGCUUGACACUGAACAUUGAGCCUUGAUGUGUAGGAUAGGUGGGAGGCUUUGAAGUGUGGACGCCAGUCUGCAUGGAGCCGACCUUGAAAUACCACCCUUUAAUGUUUGAUGUUCUAACGUUGGCCCGUAAUCCGGGUUGCGGACAGUGUCUGGUGGGUAGUUUGACUGGGGCGGUCUCCUCCUAAAGAGUAACGGAGGAGCACGAAGGUUGGCUAAUCCUGGUCGGACAUCAGGAGGUUAGUGCAAUGGCAUAAGCCAGCUUGACUGCGAGCGUGACGGCGCGAGCAGGUGCGAAAGCAGGUCAUAGUGAUCCGGUGGUUCUGAAUGGAAGGGCCAUCGCUCAACGGAUAAAAGGUACUCCGGGGAUAACAGGCUGAUACCGCCCAAGAGUUCAUAUCGACGGCGGUGUUUGGCACCUCGAUGUCGGCUCAUCACAUCCUGGGGCUGAAGUAGGUCCCAAGGGUAUGGCUGUUCGCCAUUUAAAGUGGUACGCGAGCUGGGUUUAGAACGUCGUGAGACAGUUCGGUCCCUAUCUGCCGUGGGCGCUGGAGAACUGAGGGGGGCUGCUCCUAGUACGAGAGGACCGGAGUGGACGCAUCACUGGUGUUCGGGUUGUCAUGCCAAUGGCACUGCCCGGUAGCUAAAUGCGGAAGAGAUAAGUGCUGAAAGCAUCUAAGCACGAAACUUGCCCCGAGAUGAGUUCUCCCUGAGACUUUAAGUCUCCUGAAGGAACGUUGAAGACGACGACGUUGAUAGGCCGGGUGUGUAAGCGCAGCGAUGCGUUGAGCUAACCGGUACUAAUGAACCGUGAGGCUUAACCUU
rnacentral:rRNA from 1 species